GAUAUUUCAAUACGCAAGUAAGAGACGGCUCCAGGAUUUUCAAAGGUAUUACCAGUGCAAAACAGAGUUGCUGCACCCACACUUUAACUUUUGUUUCUUGUUUAUGUGAUUCAAAUGCAUGUAAAUGUCAACAAGGGAUGAAGAAUUUUUUAUUGCUCUUCAUAUUGAAGUGAAAUGAGAGUUUAAAAAAAAAAACAUACUUGAAACAUCUCUCUUUUUCGUAUUUUUAAAAAUAAAACACUUGGGAAGAAAU
rnacentral:lncRNA from 1 species